ACUUGAGACUGGUAGUUUGUCUAACAGAACAUGAGUAUCAUCAUAACCAACCAAUACCUCCUUACUUUGUCAGUCUUUUUGCUGUGGACUACAGGUCCUAUUGGUGGGAGUGAUGUCACCCAGACUGACAUACUGUGGAAAAGUAAGGGUGAACAUGCAACAAUGAACUGCAACCACACCAAGGGUGCUGGCUACAGCCAGAUGUACUGGUACAGACAGCUGCCAGGAGAAAUAAUGAAACUAAUCGUGUUCACAAGAUUCGGCAUCGACGAUCAUGAUUUUGGAGAGUUCAGCAAAGAGAAAUUCUCAGCCACCAAGCCUAACGCUGAGAGUGGGACAUUCACAGUGAACAAUCUGGAGCCAGAAGAUAAAGGCUUGUAUUUCUGUGCUGUGAGUCAACACAGUGAUACAGACACAUUCAACAGCUGA